rnacentral:lncRNA from 1 species
GCAGUUAGUUUUGGGGCUGGAAAUUUGAGCAGAGAGAAUGGCAGAGUCUUUUCAGGAGCCAGAAAUGCAUGUGAGGACCAAGAACUUCUAACAGUAGAGGAACUCUGGCUGGGGUAGUUGAGGGGGAGGAGAAAUGAGGAUCAAGGGGGCAUACAGUGCAUGAAAACAAAAGGUGAGGCCCAAGAUCAGCCAAAGUGAGUAAACCACGGUUACCAUGGCUACUCUUCAGUGGAGACGGAAGGAAGCCCUGUAUCCUCCCCUUCCAACCACACUACGCUGUUCCACUCCCCAUCUCCAUCUCCUGUACCCCAGACACACUCAGGCAAGCACAGCACCACCCUGGAUGACUCUGCGGAAUGCCUCUCAGAGACACGGAACUAGAAACCUAGGGGAAGAGGGACAUCAAGGCUUUUGCCUCACAAGCUGACUCUGGAACAAAGAGCCAGGCUGAGGGGCUGGAAGAAGAAACUUCCAGCAGAGCCACCCAGAUAUGCUUCCCCCACCCUCUAGACCUUCCACACCAACCAGUGUCCAGUCAGUCCACAGAGCAUCCUCCUGGGCUGUGGUGACUGAAGUUGAAGGGAAGAAAAUAUAAUAAUAAUUUUGGGCAGGUCGUCUUUCUUUACUGUAUUGGAUGGAUAUAGAAUCAAUAAAUCUAUAGGUUUAUCCCAUUUUUCUGAACAAAUUUAGAGGUCAAAGAUGAACCCUCAAGGGGACAGAAUAUGACCAGCAGGACUAUUGAUAUCGUCUGCCCUAGGCACUCCUCCUUACCCUCCUCUCCCCUAUAUUUUGGGGGCAGUCAUAUUCCUCAGCAGUCAGUUGCUCUGCCUCCAGUCCUAACUGGCUUCUGAAAAACAGUUCUGGUCCAUUCAUUCCCUGUCUCGAGACUUCCGGAGCUUCCUGACCUGUGAAUGAAAUCCACAGGCCCAUCACAAGAUGGCUGCGCUCUCCAGUCCCCGGCACCCCAGGCUGCUCUGAACAUGUGAGAGCUCCUCCCUCAAGGCCUGAAUUUUCGCAGGUCUUCAUCACACUCAGCCCGCCAUCAUUUUUUCAGAUUCAGUUCCAAUAUGUCACUCUGUCUGUAGAGCCUUCCCUGAAUCUCACAGACAAAUGCGGCAGUUCCCUUUGUGGGGGAUAUUCAUCAUGUUUUUCCUCAUUGGCCUAUGUUUUUGCCUCUUCUUGUAGAUGUCCAUCUAGGCUGGGAGCUCCUAGGGGGUAAACGCAGCCUCUCACUCACCUGGCACAGAGUCGAUGCUCAUGGAAUGAUACGUGAUGGGGAGAGUGAGUAAGUGAAUGAAUGAAUGAAUGCUAUUCUGGAAGGAAGAGGGAGAGAGGGAGCAGGGAAAGGUCAGAAGGGGGCCCAGAGUCUUCAGCACACAAUGUGGGUGUAUCACUGUGGCCAGGAACAAUUCGCUUCUCUGCCUGCAUUACUUUUUGGGAAAUGGGAGAGCUGAGGCUCAGUGUAGGCAAACUGGGUCCAGUCAGCAGGGAAGCCAUGAGCUCCACGGUUUAGGGGAGGAGUCCGGUGCUUAAGGAAGCUAUCACGUGGAAGAUCUCCCUGCCCUCCUCCUAUUGGUCUGUAUUGGUUUUUCUUCUUCACCAGUGGAGGCUUUUCUUCUCCCAGGAAGAAUCCAGAAUAGUUCAGACAAGCUUCAGGUCCGCCAGAACCGGGGAAAACAACGUGUAGGGUUUGUUUUAAAGGGCUUUUAAAUGGGGUUUGGGAGAUCCAGGUAGAUUAGAAUCUUGACUCUGCACUGGCUGUGCAAGACAGAAAUUCACCUUUCAAAACUUCUGUUCCCCAGUCUAUGCGGUAAGAAGUUUAGAUUAGCUGAUUUCUAGGGAGAUUUUGGGCAGGCAUGAUUCAGUUCCAUGAAGGGCUGUGGGACAGGACUGCACUAAGAGGUCCUAUAGAUUGGAUUCUUCAGUUCCCUCCCUUCCGCUGGAGAAUAGAGGAAUCUGCCUUCGCUGCACACUAGAUUUACCUGGAGAACAAAUGGAAAGCAGGCCAGGAUCCUGGGUGAAAUGUGGCACAUUUGAGGAGACUUCAACUUCCCUUGCCCUCCAGUGUGGUCUUUUCCCCACCCCCAGACAUGAAAGGGAAGCAGGUCACAAAGCCUUUCGGAUUAUAAAAGAAACACUUGCUUCUCACAAGGGGAGCAGCAGACUUACUCUGUACUAAAUGCCAGGAUAAGCCUCUGGCUGGGCCUCGACUGUGACCCUCCGGCCUCUUUCUACAGCUCUGCCUGGAUGGACUGGCCUAUCUCUGCUGGAUUCCCGAAGUGCAUUGUGUAGAGACAGCAACUCAGAGGUGGGACCAGCUGCCAGGCCCUUUCUCCAUUGGUUGAGUUCAGCAGGUAACCUGAAGCUUUGCUGAGAGGUGCAUAAAUAAAGAGUGAAACUAGUACCACCUCCUUGAAAUGGGCUGAGUCCCUCUUGCUCACCCUUGACUUGGAAAAACCAGUUUCUCUUUUAUUGUCUGUUACUAAUCUCUAUUCUAAAAAUUCAGCUCAAUUCUCAACCAUACUCCAAACUCUCUCUUUUCCAGCUACCUUUACUCCCUCUCCUUCAAUUCCACUUUCCUCUGCUUACUUUUUUUUUUUUUCUGACAGGGUCUCACUUUGUCGCCCGGGCAGGAGUGCAGUGGCUCAAUCUUGGGCUCACUGCAGCCUCAACCUCCCAGGUUCAAGCGAUUCUCCUGCCUCAGCCCCUCAAGUAGCUGGGACUACAAGCGCACACCACCACGCCUGACUAAUUUUUUGUAUUUUUUUGUAGAGGCGGGGUUUCACCAUGUUGCCCAGACUGGUCUUGAACUCCUGAGCUUAAGCAAUCCACCUGCCUCGGCCUCCCAAAGUGUUGGGAUCACAGGCGUGAGCCACCGCAUCCGGCCUCAUGUUCUUUUUCAUUAAAGAGAGAAAUCAACUAUUCAGGACCGGCCCCCACCUUUCCUCAGGAGUCAUUUCUGUUCCGCACAGGCCUGCUGAACUGGGUGCUUUAUAUAGGACACUGUCAUCUCUCAAGUACCCAUCUUGGAGGGUACGGACCCCACAUGAGGGUGAGGCUCUCUGCACACUCCAGAAUUUCAGUGGAGUGAAGUUCAGGAGGCAUGGAGCUGACAACCAUGAGGCCUCGGCAGCCACCGCCACCACCGCCGCCGCCACCACCGUAGCAGCAGCAGCAGCAGCAGCAGCAGCAGCAGCAGCAGCAAGAGUAACUCUGACUUAGGAAUAGAGACAGCCAGAGAGAAAUGUGAUCAAUGAAGGAGACAUCUGGAGUGGUCCCCAGGCAGGUGGCUGGGACACUAUUUGCAAUCAGCAAGGAACCCUGCUGCCCUUAGACUCCCCACAGAGCAAGCAGAACUUGCAGAAUGGGGUAAAAACACUCUAUUAAAGAUUUUUUAAACCUAUUUAUAUUGUAAUAAAGUAAAUGUAAAUAAAAUUUAAGUGAAGGCAGAUUGCAGAUAUUUCCGAUGCUAUACAAGAUAUAUCUCAUAGUAUGGGUGUAGAUUCUGCAAAGGUUAAUGCAGUUAAACAUAUUUGACACAUAAAAAUGUCAGAUCCAACAUUAAUCAUUCACCAAUUGUAAUUGCCUUUCUAUGGGUCUCUUCUCCCCAAGACAUAGCUUAAAACACCAGGCUCGGUAGAAAUCUGGGAGGAAAAAAGCAAAUAAUACCUCUCAGCUGUCAGGGUCUAUGAUACGCUUUGAUAGAUUUAGCACUGAUUUCAUUCUCUUUACAAUUCAGUGUGAUUGGGUGUGCGUGUGUGUGUGUGUGUGUGUGUGUGUGUGUGUGUGUGUUACUCCAUGUUUCUCCUUUUUAAGGAAGGAGAAGGUGUGGAACAAGAGAAAGUUCCUAAGUCUGAAGGAAGUCCAACCCAGUUAUGAAGGGAAUGCCAUCCACAAGCCUUUUUUAUAAUUGGCCCCUGCCUCAGGUAAAGGGGUCUCCUUUAAGGAGCCAGUCUGGCUAAAUUGGCAGAUUCUGAACAAAGCCUGGCCCUGACAAGUCUUCAGAAAAACCGGUUUUCACCUCCAGAAUGUGCCCCAG